AUAGUUAUCGGCCUUUUGGCAACGAUCAAGUGUAGUAUCUGUUCUUAUCAGUUUAAUAACUGAAUAGUUCUAUACGUCCAUGGUGGAGUAAGGGAAGUGACUGUUGAGCUGUUUGUAGCCCCU
rnacentral:snRNA from 1 species